AUAUUCUAUGCUUUAUUAUAUGCAUAUUUAGUAUUAUAAUUUGUAUUAAAUGAAUGCUUGAAUUUUAUAUUAUAAUUUUUUCUGAUUUGGAAUACAUUUAUAAUUGAAAAGAUUACAUACAAAAUUGUUAUUUGUUUUAGUGCCUGUAACCAAUUAUAUAUGCAACAACAAUUGCGGUCGAAGUUAUAAAUAUAAGCGUAGUUUAUAUAAUCACCAGAAGUUUGAAUGUGGAGUUCCGCCAAAAUUUGGUUGUAAUCUUUGUUUUAAAAAAUUUGCCCAAAGGGGAAGUCUACGAAAACAUAUGAUGUUGGUUCAUAAAAUACUAGAAGGCUGAAGUAGUUUAACAAAUAAAAGAUUAUACCAAACCUUGAUCUUUUAUGUAACUAUAAUGAAAGAGAAGCAUAGAUCUAUGUGUAUUAAAUAAUAUGCUGUUAACUCUGAAGAAAUAAAAUAAAAUUUUUAAAAAAAACACAAAAGAAUACAUAGAAAAGUUAAAUAUUCUUACUUUUAAAUUUUAUAACAGUGCCUGUUAACUGUUUUAUUUGCAACAAUUGCGGUCGAAGUUAUAAAUAUAAGCGUAGUUUAUUUAAUCACCAGAAGUUUGAAUGUGGAGUUCCGCCAAAAUUUGGUUGUAAUCUUUGUUUUAAAAAAUUUUCCCAAAGGGGAACUUUACGAAAUCAUUUAAUUUCGAUUCAUAAAAUAAUAUAACUAUUACAACAAUUAAAAUACUGUAUACAUAAACAAUAAACUAUAUAACUGAUUACUAAUUAAACUAUAUCUUUACCUUUUUAUCUUUUAUAUAAUUAUAAUGCAUUUUUUAAACAUACAUCGUGUUUUACCAACAUAAUGCAUGAAGAGUUAAUUUCCUGUUAACUAAUUUUUAAAUAAAGACAUAAACCAUGAUAUUCAAUAAUUUCACCUUUUUUAUAUGUAUAUUAAAACAACAUCUUCUUUUAAUAAUUCUGAAUAUGUGCAUGUGUAUACCUGCUUAUUUUUUUUAUUUUUCUUGAGUAGACAAUAAUUAACGGACUUUGUUUUUUGAUCAAUGAAAUUUAAAUGAUAUUUGGCACAAAUAUUUCUUAACAUUUUAUGUUUUUAUUAAAUACAUAUUUAAUGUAAUACAUUACAAAUUUUAAGAAAAUACUUGAAUUUUUUUAUAACUAUUAUUUUCAGAUUUUGGGUAUGCUAAUAUUUAAAAAGAUUACACAGCAAAUAAUAUUAUUUGUUUUAGUGCCUGUUAAACUUUUUUUUUUUUAGGAACAUGUGUGGCUGAAGUUUCUGAAGUUAUAAAUUUAAGCGUGGUUUAUAUAUUCACUAAAAAGUAUAUGAGUUCAAUCAAAAUUUAACUUAAAAUUUUGUUUGAAAUUAUUUGCCUACAGAUCAUAUCUACAGUAUUACUUGGUCAGAAUUUAUAACAUUUUAUUGAAAUAAAAUUUAAUAUAUACCUAUAAAAUGUAUCUUUCCCUCUAUCUUUAAUGUGAUUUUACAUUAUUUUAUGCAUUUCAAAAUUUAUAUUAUUAUAUCAAAUUUUAAAAUAAAGUAUUUGUCAAAUAUUCUGUUAUUAAAAUUGAUAAUUAAUAUUGUUAUUGAUACAAAUGUUAUUUUAAUUUUUGUUUAUUUUAGCAUGCUUCACUGAAAUAAUAAUAUUUUAUUAUUGACCAUAUCUUUAAUCAAGUUCCUUAACCUAAUACUAAGUCAGUUUUCUACUAUCAACUGUUAAAUAUUGCAUACAUUUUUAAAUAUUAUUUUCAUUGAGUUAUUUAGUAAACAAUUAGUAUGGCGGUAAAUAAGUAUACUAAAAAAACUUUAUAUUUCACUAAAAAAAUAAAUAUUGUGUAUAGCAUUUGUGUUUGGCAACAAAACAAAUUAAAAAUAUCAUAAUAAUAUUUGAAGAUACUUCAAAAGUGUAUAAUAUUGUAUUAAAAAGACACAGGCUAUAGUUUAAUAAGUGAUUAUAUCUUAAUUAAUAUGUUUAUUUCCAAUUAUAGGUUGUUAAGUUUCUUGUUAUUUUUUAUGUUACUUAUAUCUUAUGUAUGUAGAAGUAGAACAAAUAUAAUACUGCAAUAUUAUGUUGUAUAAAUAAACCAUUUUCAUUAUAUUACUAGAAACAUAACAUUCAUAA